rnacentral:ncRNA from 1 species
GGAUCUUCGAGAUCUGAGGAGGAUAGGUAUAAGUGAGGUUAGUGGCGGGUUUGACGUAAGUCAAUCACUCUCCACUUGUGAUAGGGUUAGAAGAAUGAGUGAGUUUGCUAGAGCUGCAUUUUCCAGGCGACGUUUGCAAUUGCAGGAAGGAAUUGUAUGAAUGAUGAUGGAUGGUAGAUGUGGGAAUGUGGGGGUACGAAUGUGGGGGUGUGUCUGAAUGGUAAUUUUGUUGAACAUUGUGUUGUGUUGGGGCUUCCAACCCUUAACUGUUUUGGAGUUUAAAUUGGAAGUGCCUUUCUGGUACGAGGCCUGACCAUAGUCUUUUAAUCUGGUACCACGGGUAACCAGGAGCCCACGGAACUUGUUCCGUCCUGGUUAGUUGGUGCGGCCCUUCGGGGAGUAUCGUGGUGGUUGUGGUUUAACACCCAAAUGCGGGUAGAGCAUCGCUCGACGUGGAGUUGCGUCAUACAACCGGGUUCCGUGACCCAGAUUACGGAAGAGGCUUAGAUAGUCCUCGUGCCAAACCAAGGUAGAAGUCACAACCAAACAGUCGUGUCUUUAAUUGGUACCUGCGGAAUUGUUCCAAGGGGGCGGUGAUUGACGCUUGAAUUAAUCCUAUACUAGGAACCGUGAGAUUAAGCCAUCGCGGCAGGUGCUCACGUUAAGCCCACUGACUUUCAUGUCCCUAUCUACUAUCUAGCGAAACCACAGCCAAGGGAACGGGCUUGGAAUAAUUAGCGGGGAAAGAAGACCCUUUUGAGCUUGACUCUAAUCUGGCAGUGUAAGGAGACAUAAGAGGUGUAGAAUAAGUGGGAGAUAUUAGACUUCGGUUUGGUAUCGACAAUGAAAUACCACUACUCUUAUUGUUUCCUUACUUACUUGAUUAAAUGGAACGUGUAUCAUUUCCUAGCCAUUAUACGGAUAUAAUUAUUAUGUCUUAUGGUAUUGGGUUUUGAUGCAAGCUUCUUGAUCAAAGUAUCACGAGUUUGUUAUAUAAUCGCAAACAAAUUCUUUAAUGAGAGAAUGCAUUUAUGUAUUAUUGAUUAAAAAUUUGGUAUAACUCCAAUU